GCAGUGGCGGUUCAGUGGCAGAAAUCCUUCCUUCCACGCAGGAGACCUGGGUUCAACUCCUGGCCAGUGCG
rnacentral:tRNA from 1 species